rnacentral:rRNA from 1 species
CACUCACGUUGGAACGACCGAGUGCACCAAACGCUCCGGCGCUGCAGGAUGUGGCUGCGGCCGAUUAGGUAGACGGUGGGGUAACGGCCCACCGUGCCGAUAAUCGGUACGGGUUGUGAGAGCAAGAGCCCGGAGACGGAAUCUGAGACAAGAUUCCGGGCCCUACGGGGCGCAGCAGGCGCGAAACCUUUACACUGCACGACAGUGCGAUAAGGGGACCCCAAGUGCGAGGGCAUACAGUCCUCGCUUUUGUGUACCGUAAGGUGGUACACGAAUAAGAGCUGGGCAAGACCGGUGCCAGCCGCCGCGGUAAUACCGGCAGCUCGAGUGAUGACCGAUUUUAUUGGGCCUAAAGCGUCCGUAGCUGGCCGCGUAGGUUCGUCGGGAAAUCCAUCCGCUCAACGGAUGGGCGUCCGGCGAAAACCACGUGGCUUGGGACCGGAAGGCUCGAGGGGUACGUCCGGGGUAGGAGUGAAAUCCCGUAAUCCUGGACGGACCGCCGAUGGCGAAAGCACCUCGAGAAGACGGAUCCGACAGUGAGGGACGAAAGCUGGGGUCUCGAACCGGAUUAGAUACCCGGGUAGUCCCAGCCGUAAACAAUGCCAAUUAGGUGUGGCACCGACUACGAGUCGGUGCUGUGCCGUAGGGAAGCCGAUAAACAGGCCGCCUGGGAAGUACGUCCGCAAGGAUGAAACUUAAAGGAAUUGGCGGGGGAGCACUACAACCGGAGGAGCCUGCGGUUUAAUUGGACUCAACGCCGGACAUCUCACCAGCAUCGACUGUAGCAAUGAUCAUCAGGUUGAUGACCUCUAUGUUGAGCUACAGAGAGGAGGUGCAUGGCCGCCGUCAGCUCGUACCGUGAGGCGUCCUGUUAAGUCAGGCAACGAGCGAGACCCGCACUCUUAAUUGCCAGCAUCGCGUUCGCGCGGAUGGGUACAUUAGGAGGACUGCCGCUGCUAAAGCGGAGGAAGGAACGGGCAACGGUAGGUCAGUAUGCCCCGAAUGUGCUGGGCUACACGCGGGCUACAAUGGCCGAGACAAUGGGUUCCUACCUCGAAAGAGGAUGGUAAUCUCAGAAACUCGGUCGUAGUUCGGAUUGAGGGUUGAAACUCACCCUCAUGAAGCUGGAUUCGGUAG